AACGAACGCUGGCGGCAGGCCUAACACAUGCAAGUCGAGCGAGGACUUCGGUCCUAGCGGCGGACGGGUGAGUAACGCGUGGGAACGUGCCCUUUGCUUCGGAAUAGCCCUGGGAAACUGGGAGUAAUACCGGAUGAGCCCUUUGGGGGAAAGAUUUAUCGGCGAAGGAUCGGCCCGCGUUGGAUUAGGUAGUUGGUGGGGUAAUGGCCUACCAAGCCGACGAUCCAUAGCUGGUUUGAGAGGAUGAUCAGCCACACUGGGACUGAGACACGGCCCAGACUCCUACGGGAGGCAGCAGUGGGGAAUCUUAGACAAUGGGGGAAACCCUGAUCUAGCCAUGCCGCGUGAGCGAUGAAGGCCUUAGGGUUGUAAAGCUCUUUCAGCUGGGAAGAUAAUGACGGUACCAGCAGAAGAAGCCCCGGCUAAUUCCGUG
rnacentral:rRNA from 1 species